GAUGAACGCUGGCGGCGUGCCUAAUACAUGCAAGUCGAGCGAACCACUUCGGUGGUGAGCGGCGAACGGGUGAGUAACACGUAGGUUAUCUGCCCAUCAGACGGGGACAACGAUUGGAAACGAUCGCUAAUACCGGAUAGGACGAAAGUUUAAAGGUGCUUCGGCACCACUGAUGGAUGAGCCUGCGGCGCAUUAGCUAGUUGGUAGGGUAAAGGCCUACCAAGGCGACGAUGCGUAGCCGACCUGAGAGGGUGAACGGCCACACUGGGACUGAGACACGGCCCAGACUCCUACGGGAGGCAGCAGUAGGGAAUCUUCGGCAAUGGGCGAAAGCCUGACCGAGCAACGCCGCGUGAAUGAUGAAGGCCUUCGGGUUGUAAAAUUCUGUUAUAAGGGAAGAAUGGCUUUAGUAGGAAAUGGCUAGAGUGUGACGGUACCUUAUGAGAAAGCCACGGCUAACUACGUGCCAGCAGCCGCGGUAA
rnacentral:rRNA from 1 species